UUUCGUUCUUUUUUGUUACCUCUUCACUUUCCUAAUUCUCAUGCAUCGCUUAGCAGUCUGAUUGCUACAUCCAGGAAAGCAAGCUGAUUAUACAUCAUUCUUUCCAGGAACGCUCCCCAGAAAUCCCAGGACAAAAUGAGAUGCAGACACAAGGGAACAAGCUUCACUGCUAUCUAUCAGCUCGGAUAAGGAAAAGCUCCUUUCAGCCUGACACUGACAGCUUAAUGAAAUGGAGGCAAAGAUGCAUGCAGAUGAGAGAAAGACUGGUGCUGAAGACGCAGAGAUGAAAGACUCUUCAUUCUUUCCUAAAGAAAAUUACAUUUGAUGGAAAAGACAUUAAAAUGAGAUAUGGCAUUUUCACAGACUUCAAAGACGUUCCUGUGUGGCAUAGUGCAGGAACAGGUCACACACUGUUAUGGCUGGUAUUCACUCAUUGUCCUCAUCACUGGCUGCUUUAGAAAAUUCUUAUUUAACAGCGUCAAUUUUUCUAAGAGAUAUUGACUAUUUAGAAGACGUAUUAAAUUAAGGUAUAUACAUGGAAGACAUAGGAUGACAAGAAAAGAGCCCUAAAUAUAAAGUUAGAGGGCCUAGGUAAUAUUUUAUUUUUCUCACUUCAUAACUUUGCGAUUUCAAAUGUUAAGCUUUCAAAUCUUGGUUUCCUAAACUGUAAAAUGUAAAUAAUAAAAUAUAUCGCUUAUAUGUGACACAGAUAUUGAGAUAAUUGGAAUGGAAAUGAAGAAAUGAAGUAAUGGUAGGUGAAUAUAAUUUAUUAAUAGCACCCUGUACAAAUAUGAGAUCCUUUGUGUUAUUUUUUUUCUUCUUUUUUUUCUUUGAGGAAGAUUAGCCCUGAGCUAACAUCUGCCACCAA